GAGGGAAUUUUUUUCAAUUUUUGAGGGUAAUGUCUUCGACUAGAUACUAUUCGUGAUCUUUUAACGUAUUAUUGAAAGAAAUCGGUUUGGUGAGAGCUGAGAAAAAAUGGUAAAGACACAAAAAAAACACAUAAUAGUAAAAUUAAUACAUUCACAGCUUCACAUCGAAGCUAAUAAUAUGUUUUUUUAUAAUAAUAAUAAGCUUUUUUUUCAUUUUUACAUUUUUAUUUUUAUAUUGUAUAUUCAAAAACGAAUAAACUGCACAAUUUCAUUUAAAUGCGUAUUUUUUCUUUUUUAUGCAUUGAACAAAAUUAAUUCACUUUUUUACCUCAAGGUUAAUCAGGAAUAAUUUUUAAAUGCUUGUAGCUAUCAUACAAUUGAUUGAUAUUAUCAGUAUCACGAUUUUUGUUAUUUGUAACGCUACAAUAUUAGCGUAUUGAAUGUCAUUUUCGGUCAGCAGAAACAUGCUCAUGUUAACAGUUCAGUGAACAUAAAAAACUUCAGGCUUAUCACAAAUCAAUACGAUCGAUAUGAUGUUGAAUAGUUAUUUGGAUUUUGAAGGAUACAGAUUUGAUGAAACCAAUAAAAAACCUUAAUGGAACUAGAUCAACACGUCGUUAUGUGAAUUUACUUAUAUUUUUCUUUCUUCGGUAUGCCACCGGUCACGAUACAGCACAUUUAAUGCAAAACGGCAGCGACUACAAUAUACUGGCGAAAGUGAAAGACACGCGCUGUUCGGUGACCCAAAAAUGGGGGCGAGGGCAACGCGGUAACAGGAUUCACGUCAGCGGACAAUAACCGUUUUUUGUCAGACCGCGAAUGCAGUGGAAAACAAAAGUAAACCCUCGCACGUUGUUUGCACGAUAUUCAAACUUGAUUUAUAUUAUUGUAAAUGUAUUAAAAUAUUGUGAUACGAAAUCGGCACGUCUUGCGAGUUGCCAGAGGAAUACCACCGUGCCGAGUGAGUCUUGGCGGUAAAUCAUGAACGCUAUGGGUGGCUAAGAAAACUUUCUAAAGACUGUAUUUCUCGCGAUUCAAGGACAAUGCAUACAAUCCGAACCAGUAUCCUGGAUGCAACUUAAUCCUUUUUUAUGACGAUUUUCCGGCUAACGAAUCAUCGUAGAAUAUUUGUCGCCUAUUGCUGUUUUAUAGGCCGUAUUAAGCUUAAUAUAUAAUAUAAGUUUGGUUAAAAAAUAAUAUCUCCUAUUGUACUUGACAUAUUUAGAUACACACAAAAUCAGUAUAAAAUUUUAACUAAUUAAAGAAUGUAGGACGACAAAAAAAUGUAUCGUGUAUUAUUUAAUUGAUCACACAUAGAAAAUAUAAUUUAUUUCAUUGUUUAAAUGUUUUAA